rnacentral:rRNA from 1 species
GAUGAACGCUGGCGGCGUGCCUAAUACAUGCAAGUCGAGCGAACGGACGAGAAGCUUGCUUUUCUGAUGUUAGCGGCGGACGGGUGAGUAACACGUGGAUAACCUACCUAUAAGACUGGGAUAACUUCGGGAAACCGGAGCUAAUACCGGAUAAUAUUUUGAACCGCAUGGUUCAAAAGUGAAAGACGGUCUUGCUGUCACUUAUAGAUGGAUCCGCGCUGCAUUAGCUAGUUGGUAAGGUAACGGCUUACCAAGGCAACGAUGCAUAGCCGACCUGAGAGGGGGAUCGGCCACACUGGAACUGAGACACGGUCCAGACUCCUACGGGAGGCAGCAGUAGGGAAUCUUCCGCAAUGGGCGAAAGCCUGACGGAGCAACGCCGCGUGAGUGAUGAAGGUCUUCGGAUCGUAAAACUCUGUUAUUAGGGAAGAACAUAUGUGUAAGUAACUGUGCACAUCUUGACGGUACCUAAUCAGAAAGCCACGGCUAACUACGU